ACUCGAGUGGCGAACGGGUGAGUAACACGUGGGUGAUCUGCCCUUCACUUCGGGAUAAGCCUGGGAAACUGGGUCUAAUACUGGAUAGGACCAUCGUUUAGUGUCGGUGGUGGAAAGUUUUUCGGUGUGGGAUGAGCUCGCGGCCUAUCAGCUUGUUGGUGGGGUAAUGGCCUACCAAGGCGUCGACGGGUAGCCGGCCUGAGAGGGUGUACGGCCACAUUGGGACUGAGAUACGGCCCAG
rnacentral:rRNA from 1 species